rnacentral:rRNA from 1 species
AACGAACGCUGGCGGCAUGCCUAACACAUGCAAGUCGAACGAUGCCUUCGGGCGUAGUGGCGCACGGGUGCGUAACGCGUGGGAAUCUGCCUUUCGGUUCGGCAUAACUCAGGGAAACUUGAGCUAAUACCGGAUAACGUCGCAAGACCAAAGAUUUAUCACCGAAAGAUGAGCCCGCGUAGGAUUAGCUAGUUGGUGAGGUAAAGGCUCACCAAGGCGACGAUCCUUAGCUGGUCUGAGAGGAUGAUCAGCCACACUGGGACUGAGACACGGCCCAGACUCCUACGGGAUGCAGCAGUGGGGAAUAUUGGACAAUGGGCGAAAGCCUGAUCCACCAAUGCCGCGUGAGUGAUGAAGGCCUUAGGGUUGUAAAGCUCUUUUACCCGGGAAGAUAAUGACGGUACCGGGAGAAUAAGCCCCGGCUAACUCCGUG